CCACCUGCGACGUCAAAGCUUCGGCUGCAAGGGUUGAGACCACAUAUAGUAUCCUAGCAGAGCUUUGAGAGUCAUGGGCUUCAUCCAUACCAUGGAUACACCAUCCAAGACCUCCAUUUUUAGAAGCAUCAGUCCCUGAAACCAUAGAAACCAAAGCCAACAAGACAAAGGUUCUAGUACCAACCCCAUACUGAGGUACUAAAGGGGGAGAACACAGUGUAACAUCCUCAUAUAGAGGUAAAGACAACAGAUCGCUUGCAACAUCCUCAUAUAGAGGUAAAG
rnacentral:lncRNA from 1 species